UUUCCGUAGGUGACCCUGCGGAAGGAUCAUUA
rnacentral:rRNA from 2 species